rnacentral:rRNA from 1 species
GAUGAACGCUAGCGGCGUGCCUAACACAUGCAAGUCGAACGUGAGAGGGUACUUGUAUCCUUGAAAGUGGCGGACGGGUGAGUAAGACGUAGGUGACCUGCCUUGAAGUGGGGGAUAACCAUUGGAAACGAUGGCUAAUACCGCAUGGGCUGGUGAUGGUGGGAAUCAUUAUCAGCAAAGCUUUAGUGCUUUGAGAGGGGCCUACGGCCGAUUAGCUAGUUGGUGAGGUAACGGCUCACCAAGGCGAUGAUCGGUAGCUGGUCUGAGAGGACGAUCAGCCACACGGGAACUGAGACACGGUCCCGACUCCUACGGGGGCAGCAGUGAGGAAUAUUCGGCAAUGGGGGCAACCCUGACCGAGCAACGCCGCGUGGAGGAUGACGGUUUUCGGAUUGUAAACUCCUUUCUCAGGGAAGAGCGAGGACGGUACCUG